CACGCAAAACUCACGCUGCAUUCCCGACUCGGAUCGUACGCACGCGGCGGUAUUAUACGAUCUUUGCUACAGACACUGCAAACAUCAGAUGGAUGCAGUGUCGAUCACACGUGCAGUAAUAUUUUCGCGACUUUGUGUAUCAUCAAGACAACACGUAAGAAAUUAGUCUCUGAGGAAUCGCUGGCACACCUACAUGGCACUUGUUGGCAAGUGGAUAGAAGCAGAGAUGGUAGUGGGAUUGGAAGGAAUGUGCUGUCCAUCCAGGAGAAGUCUGUCCUCUGCAGUGACUAAGGGCAGGUGGCACGUGUCGCUCCCGAUGUGUGUCUUCUUUCACUGACUCUGGGAAGGGCAGAGGACACACCGCCAGUAGCGGAGGUCGCCGUAGCUGGUCAUCUCCAAGGUGAUGGGGAAGUGGCGCCCUACGAAGCGGGAGAGUGGUUAGUGAAGCAUUGUGUUAGGGGUGGUACUCGGGCAAGGGCUCAUUGAACAGAAGCUCACGGACAAGACUCAACCGGUAGUCGAGGAAGGAGAGGCGGUGACCAGCAGCCAGGUACAUGGAGUACCAAUUCACCAGCAUCAAGUCGAGCAGGUAGAAGAAGAGCUUCUCGUACCAUUUGAGGGACUUAUGAGUAGCUCGAUGAUUUGCUGCAAGCUGGUCACUCUUGUCAACACCCCCAUUAGGGCGUUGUACUCUGUGACGCGGGUCAGUGUCUGCAUCCCCUCCCCCAUGCUGUCUCACUUGCCGAAGCCACAUGUCUGCUGUAUGCAUGGUGGAAAGCAUACAGAUGUUGCGCUUGUCUCUCCACACCAUGGCCAGGAGAGAACCACUGACACCCAGGUCGGCCGACUGGAAUGUUGUUUCACCCUGUUUGCAGGUUUUUUGGCAUGCCUUUUCUGUUGGCCAUGAUGCAACACUAUCUUAAUGGUACAAUGGUAAUGGAAAGAGGAACAAAAGAACUGAACACUGCCUUAACCCUCCUACGCGGAAGUCACUCUUUGGGUCACUUGGUAAACACCUCAAUGAAGCACAGCUGUGUCGUGUUGUGCUCUGAACAAACUUCAUCUCAGUUGGAAUGUAAGAGUACAGAUUGUGCAGUCCAACAACUAUGGUUCAGAGUACCCUGGGAAUAAUUGUGCUGUAAACAAACUGCAGUGCUCUUGUGUUGUUCUGUGCUGUCAACCUAUUACCCUGAUUUUGACCUCUCAAGACUUGCAAUGUAUCACUAUCUACUGGGGUCCUACUUUUCUGCUGUCUGUUGGGACUUUGGCUAAAUUUAAUGAAACAGUGCAUACUCGGCAUUGGGAUAUAUCAUUGGCUAAGAUGGGAGUUUCCUUUUGUUGUAAGAAUUUUUGAAUGGUAA